rnacentral:precursor_RNA from 1 species
GCAAGCAUGUUCGGGAUGCGGUUUUCCCCCUUGAAAUGCAAAAUGUUGCUUCAGGAUUGGGUUGCAUCGGCACCUGAACUAGUGAUA